rnacentral:tRNA from 1 species
GGGCGGUUAGCUCAGUGGUAGAGCACUGCCUUCACACGGCAGGGGUCACUGGUUCGAAACCAGUAUCGCCCA